GUUGCUGGUUAGCAUUGCUAGGUUGUUUGGUUAGCAUUGCUAGAUUGUUGUUAGUAUUUGCUGGGUUAGAAGAUUAUUUGAUUAAUUGUCUACUAACUUGCAUGUGAGGUGUUCUUUUGAGUUGCAGUGAGUAAGUGUGUUCGUUGAUCGGAACUUUAAGGGAUGAAAACCUUAAAGUGGAGGGAGUUCGAGGCCAAACCCAAACCCGAAGCAAAAGAGGAGAGACAGGUUCAUAGGGACUGGACAGUGGUAUGGACUGGACAGAUGGGAGGAAACAAGACUUCGUUGGGAAAGGACUUCUUCAGUAGUUGGGAAAACAAAGAUCAAGAAGGUUGAGGAACCUGUACAAGGAUGUGGUGAGAUAUGAAGACGAUUGUGGAGGCCUUGAAGAGAACACUAAAGGAACCGCGGUGGACAGCGUAAAGAGGUUAUGGAGACGAGUGGAGAAUGUUGUGAAGACGAGCAAUAUCGCAAUUAAGAAUUCGAGGACGAAUUCUAUUAAGGAGGGGAGAAUGUAGAAACCCGUUUAAAAAAA
rnacentral:lncRNA from 1 species